rnacentral:rRNA from 1 species
CUGCUACUAGUGAUGUCAUCGUGAAGUCCACUAAACCUUAUCAUUUAAGGGAAUGAGAAGUCGUAAGAAUGCCUCUGUAGGUGAACAACCAGAUUGACCGUUGAAUUUGUUUACGUACGAAAGGAAUGAAAAUCUGUCUUUUGUUUCCUUUCUGUCAGGAGGAGGGGGCCAUGCCUUCUUUGUCUUGCCAAAACUCAACCCCUGGCGCUUUGUGUGCCAAGGAAUUGAAAAAUUUUAUGUGUGAUCCUUGAGAACUUCAGCCAUGGUGCCUUUCAAGGUUUAGUCGUGAUGCACAAAGCAAAAUGACUCUAGGCAACGGAUAUAUCGGCUCUUGCAUCGAUGAAGAACGUAGCGAAAUGCGAUACUUGGUGUGAAUUGCAGAAUUGCGCGAAACGUCGGGUUUUUGUAGGUAACCUGCGGUCGAUGCCCAUCGAUCACGAACAGAACGACCCGCGGAUUGCGUGACAUCAUCUUCUAUAGAUCCCCGGGCGAGGCGGGGCGUACGAUGGCCUCCCGCGAGCCUCGCCUACCGGUUGGCCGAAACACGAGUGCGCGGCGGUGAGCGCCACGGUCCUCGGUGGAGGACGAGCGAAGCACUGCUCGAGACCCCGGCCACACGCGCCUCGCCCCCCUGAGCGGCUCCAAGGCCCCCUGACAAUGCGAAAUAAGAUCCCGACGCGACCCAAGGUCAUGCAGGGCUACCUGCUGAGUUUAAGCAUAUCAAUACCGCAGGAA